AGUAAUGUCUGGGAAACUGCCUGAUGGAGGGGGAUAACUACUGGAAACGGUAGCUAAUACCGCAUAAUGUCGCAAGACCAAAGAGGGGGACCUUCGGGCCUCUUGCCAUCAGAUGUGCCCAGAUGGGAUUAGCUUGUUGGUGGGGUAACGGCUCACCAAGGCGACGAUCCCUAGCUGGUCUGAGAGGAUGACCAGCCACACUGGAACUGAGACACGGUCCAG
rnacentral:rRNA from 1 species